rnacentral:rRNA from 1 species
ACUCCUACGGGAGGCAGCAGUGGGGAAUAUUGCACAAUGGGCGCAAGCCUGAUGCAGCCAUGCCGCGUGUAUGAAGAAGGCCUUCGGGUUGUAAAGUACUUUCAGCAGUGAGGAAGGUGGGUAUGUUAAUAGCAUACUCAUUUGACGUUAGCUGCAGAAGAAGCACCGGCUAACUCCGUGCCAGCAGCCGCGGUAAUACGGAGGGUGCGAGCGUUAAUCGGAAUUACUGGGCGUAAAGCGCAUGCAGGUGGUUUGUUAAGUCAGAUGUGAAAGCCCGGGGCUCAACCUCGGAAUUGCAUUUGAAACUGGCAAACUAGAGUACUGUAGAGGGGGGUAGAAUUUCAGGUGUAGCGGUGAAAUGCGUAGAGAUCUGAAGGAAUACCGGUGGCGAAGGCGGCCCCCUGGACAGAUACUGACACUCAGAUGCGAAAAGCGUGGGGAGCAAACAGGAUUAGAUACCCUGGUAGCUACGAG